rnacentral:rRNA from 1 species
AUGAAAUUCAACACUGACGCGGCAGUAAGGAGAGACGGGAGCUACGGCGCGGUGGCUGUUGUGAGCCGUGACUCGGGAGGUAUGUUUUUGGGAGCUUCGUGUAUAACAUUCAGGCAUAUUGCAGACCCUGAGACGCUCGAGGCAAUGGCAGUCCGUGAAGCUCUAUCUUUGGCAGAUGACUUGUAUAUCCAUAAUAUACAUAUAGCGACGGAUUGCAAGGCAGUAGUGGACGGAAUUAAGCAAGGCUCUUCGGCAGCGUAUGGAGCAAUAACACAUGAAAUCAUGGAGCACGCGGCAUUGUUUCCUUCUUGCAGUAUAGUCUAUGAGUCUAGGAGCUCGAAUAUCGAGGCUCGCAACCUCGCCAAGCAUGCUUUAUCUCUAGGGUUUGGCCACCAUGUCUGGUUUGGUCACCCUGGUGAUCUUAUUUUUGUACCACAGAACAUUUUGAUAUAA